CGUGGAGACAGGUGGUGCAUGGCUGUCGUCAGCUCGUGUCGUGAGAUGCUGGGUUAAGUCCCGCAACGAGCGCAACCCUCACCUCUUGUUGCCAUCAGGUCAUGCUGGGCACUCUAGAGGAACUGCCCCGGUCAACGGGGAGGAAGGCGGGGAUGACGUCAAGUCAUCAUGCCCCUUACGUCCUGGGCUACACACGUGCUACAAUGGCCGGUACAAAGGGAUGCCACACCGCGAGGUAGAGCUAAACCCAAAAAGCCGGUCUAAGUGCAGAUUGGAGUCUGCAACUCGACUCCAUGAAGGAGGAAUCGCUAGUAAUCGCGUAUCAGCACGACGCGGUGAAUACGUUCCCGGGCCUUGCACACACCGCCCGUCACACCACGAAAGCCUGCUGUACUCGAAGUCGCUGAG
rnacentral:rRNA from 1 species